rnacentral:rRNA from 1 species
CGUAGGGUGCGAGCGUUAAUCGGAAUUACUGGGCGUAAAGCGUGCGCAGGCUGUUUUGUAAGUCAGAUGUGAAAUCCCCGAGCUCAACUUGGGAACUGCGUUUGAAACUACAAGACUAGAAUAUGUCAGAGGGGGGUAGAAUUCCACGUGUAGCAGUGAAAUGCGUAGAGAUGUGGAGGAAUACCAAUGGCGAAGGCAGCCCCCUGGGAUAAUAUUGACGCUCAUGCACGAAAGCGUGGGGAGCAAACAGGAUUAGAUACCCUGGUAGUCCACGCCCUAAACGAUGUCUACUAGUUGUUGGUGGAGUAAAAUCCAUGAGUAACGCAGCUAACGCGUGAAGUAGACCGCCUGGGGAGUACGGUCGCAAGAUUA